rnacentral:rRNA from 1 species
GACGAACGCUGGCGGCGUGCUUAACACAUGCAAGUCGAACGGAAAGGCCCUGCUUUUGUGGGGUUCUCGAGUGGCGAACGGGUGAGUAACACGUGAGUAACCUGCCCUUGACUUUGGGAUAACUUCAGGAAACUGGGGCUAAUACCGGAUAGGAGCUCCUGCUGCAUGGUGGGGGUUGGAAAGUUUCGGCGGUUGGGGAUGGACUCGCGGCUUAUCAGCUUGUUGGUGGGGUAGUGGCUUACCAAGGCUUUGACGGGUAGCCGGCCUGAGAGGGUGACCGGCCACAUGGGGACUGAGAUACGGCCCAGACGCCUACGGGAGGCAGCAGUGGGGAAUAUUGCACAAUGGGCGGAAGCCUGAUGCAGCAACGCCGCGUGCGGGAUGACGGCCUUCGGGUUGUAAACCGCUUUCGCCGGUGACGAAGCGUGAGUGACGGUAAUGGGUAAAGAAGCACCGGCUAACUACGUG